rnacentral:rRNA from 1 species
CAUAGGUUAAUGAGGCGAACCGGGGGAACUGAAACAUCUAAGUACCCCGAGGAAAAGAAAUCAACCGAGAUUCCCCCAGUAGCGGCGAGCGAACGGGGAGGAGCCCAGAGCCUGAAUCAGUGUGUGUGUUAGUGGAAGCGUCUGGAAAGGCGCGCGAUACAGGGUGACAGCCCCGUACACAAAAAUGCACAUAUUGUGAGCUCGAUGAGUAGGGCGGGACACGUGGUAUCCUGUCUGAAUAUGGGGGGACCAUCCUCCAAGGCUAAAUACUCCUGACUGACCGAUAGUGAACCAGUACCGUGAGGGAAAGGCGAAAAGAACCCCGGCGAGGGGAGUGAAAAAGAACCUGAAACCGUGUACGUACAAGCAGUGGGAGCCUCUUAAUGGGGUGACUGCGUACCUUUUGUAUAAUGGGUCAGCGACUUAUAUUCUGUAGCAAGGUUAACCGAAUAGGGGAGCCGAAGGGAAACCGAGUCUUAACUGGGCGUUAAGUUGCAGGGUAUAGACCCGAAACCCGGUGAUCUAGCCAUGGGCAGGUUGAAGGUUGGGUAACACUAACUGGAGGACCGAACCGACUAAUGUUGAAAAAUUAGCGGAUGACUUGUGGCUGGGGGUGAAAGGCCAAUCAAACCGGGAGAUAGCUGGUUCUCCCCGAAAGCUAUUUAGGUAGCGCCUCGUGAAUUCAUCUCCGGGGGUAGAGCACUGUUUCGGCAAGGGGGUCAUCCCGACUUACCAACCCGAUGCAAACUGCGAAUACCGGAGAAUGUUAUCACGGGAGACACACGGCGGGUGCUAACGUCCGUCGUGAAGAGGGAAACAACCCAGACCGCCAGCUAAGGUCCCAAAGUCAUGGUUAAGUGGGAAACGAUGUGGGAAGGCCCAGACAGCCAGGAUGUUGGCUUAGAAGCAGCCAUCAUUUAAAGAAAGCGUAAUAGCUCACUGGUCGAGUCGGCCUGCGCGGAAGAUGUAACGGGGCUAAACCAUGCACCGAAGCUGCGGCAGCGACACUAUGUGUUGUUGGGUAGGGGAGCGUUCUGUAAGCCUGUGAAGGUGUACUGUGAGGUAUGCUGGAGGUAUCAGAAGUGCGAAUGCUGACAUAAGUAACGAUAAAGCGGGUGAAAAGCCCGCUCGCCGGAAGACCAAGGGUUCCUGUCCAACGUUAAUCGGGGCAGGGUGAGUCGACCCCUAAGGCGAGGCCGAAAGGCGUAGUCGAUGGGAAACAGGUUAAUAUUCCUGUACUUGGUGUUACUGCGAAGGGGGGACGGAGAAGGCUAUGUUGGCCGGGCGACGGUUGUCCCGGUUUAAGCGUGUAGGCUGGUUUUCCAGGCAAAUCCGGAAAACCAAGGCUGAGGCGUGAUGACGAGGCACUACGGUGCUGAAGCAACAAAUGCCCUGCUUCCAGGAAAAGCCUCUAAGCAUCAGGUAACAUCAAAUCGUACCCCAAACCGACACAGGUGGUCAGGUAGAGAAUACCAAGGCGCUUGAGAGAACUCGGGUGAAGGAACUAGGCAAAAUGGUGCCGUAACUUCGGGAGAAGGCACGCUGAUAUGUAGGUGAAGCGACUUGCUCGUGGAGCUGAAAUCAGUCGAAGAUACCAGCUGGCUGCAACUGUUUAUUAAAAACACAGCACUGUGCAAACACGAAAGUGGACGUAUACGGUGUGACGCCUGCCCGGUGCCGGAAGGUUAAUUGAUGGGGUUAGCGGUAACGCGAAGCUCUUGAUCGAAGCCCCGGUAAACGGCGGCCGUAACUAUAACGGUCCUAAGGUAGCGAAAUUCCUUGUCGGGUAAGUUCCGACCUGCACGAAUGGCGUAAUGAUGGCCAGGCUGUCUCCACCCGAGACUCAGUGAAAUUGAACUCGCUGUGAAGAUGCAGUGUACCCGCGGCAAGACGGAAAGACCCCGUGAACCUUUACUAUAGCUUGACACUGAACAUUGAGCCUUGAUGUGUAGGAUAGGUGGGAGGCUUUGAAGUGUGGACGCCAGUCUGCAUGGAGCCGACCUUGAAAUACCACCCUUUAAUGUUUGAUGUUCUAACGUGGGCCCCUUACCGGGGUUGCGGACAGUGUCUGGUGGGUAGUUUGACUGGGGCGGUCUCCUCCUAAAGAGUAACGGAGGAGCACGAAGGUUGGCUAAUCCUGGUCGGACAUCAGGAGGUUAGUGCAAUGGCAUAAGCCAGCUUGACUGCGAGCGUGACGGCGCGAGCAGGUGCGAAAGCAGGUCAUAGUGAUCCGGUGGUUCUGAAUGGAAGGGCCAUCGCUCAACGGAUAAAAGGUACUCCGGGGAUAACAGGCUGAUACCGCCCAAGAGUUCAUAUCGACGGCGGUGUUUGGCACCUCGAUGUCGGCUCAUCACAUCCUGGGGCUGAAGUAGGUCCCAAGGGUAUGGCUGUUCGCCAUUUAAAGUGGUACGCGAGCUGGGUUUAGAACGUCGUGAGACAGUUCGGUCCCUAUCUGCCGUGGGCGCUGGAGAACUGAGGGGGGCUGCUCCUAGUACGAGAGGACCGGAGUGGACGCAUCACUGGUGUUCGGGUUGUCAUGCCAAUGGCACUGCCCGGUAGCUAAAUGCGGAAGAGAUAAGUGCUGAAAGCAUCUAAGCACGAAACUUGCCCCGAGAUGAGUUCUCCCUGAGACUUAGAGUCUCCUGAAGGAACGUUGAAGACGACGACGUUGAUAGGCCGGGUGUGUAAGCGCAGCGAUGCGUUGAGCUAACCGGUACUAAUGAACCGUGAGGCUUAACCUUACAACGCCGAAG